rnacentral:rRNA from 1 species
GAUGAACGCUAGCGGCAGGCCUAACACAUGCAAGUCGAGGGGUAACAGAAGAAAGCUUGCUUUUUUGCUGACGACCGGCGCACGGGUGCGUAACGCGUAUGCAACCUACCUCUUACUGGAGGAUAGCCCUAAGAAAUUGGGAUUAAUACUCCAUAGUAAUACAAUUUCGCAUGUUAUAGUAUUUAAAGGUUACGGUAAGAGAUGGGCAUGCGUCCCAUUAGCUAGAUGGUAAGGUAACGGCUUACCAUGGCUACGAUGGGUAGGGGGCCUGAGAGGGUGACCCCCCACACUGGUACUGAGACACGGACCAGACUCCUACGGGAGGCAGCAGUGAGGAAUAUUGGUCAAUGGACGCAAGUCUGAACCAGCCAUGCCGCGUGCAGGAAGAAUGUCCUAUGGAUUGUAAACUGCUUUUAUUUGGGAAUAAACCCCUUUACGUGUAGAGGGCUGAAUGUACCAAAUGAAUAAGCACCGGCUAACUCCG